rnacentral:rRNA from 1 species
UACGGGGGGGGCAAGCGUUGUUCGGAAUUACUGGGCGUAAAGCGCACGUAGGCGGAUCUUUAAGUCGGGGGUGAAAUCCUGGAGCUCAACUCCAGAACUGCCUCCGAUACUGGAGAGCUUGAGUCCGGGAGAGGUGAGUGGAACUGCGAGUGUAGAGGUGAAAUUCGUAGAUAUUCGCAAGAACACCAGUGGCGAAGGCGGCUCACUGGCCCGGUACUGACGCUGAGGUGCGAAAGCCAGGGGAGCGAACGGG